ensembl:lncRNA
GGGAGCGCAGACGUAGUGACUGUGGCAUUGCCUCCGAAAAAACUUCAUCUGGGGGCAGCGUAAGAGACAUUGCUGCCAUGCUUGAAAUGUCCAAUCUCGGAAGCAGUGGUAAAAGAAGUGGUUAUCUGCAGGCAAGCCAUAACCUCCUGCGGCAGAACCGUGAAGUUCUGAAUUCUGACGCAGAUAGUCGCCGCCGCACAAUCAGCGAAUUUUAUGACUCUCAUAAGCAGCCUGAUGAUGAUGUACGAAAGGAAGAGAUGAACCGAGUCAUGCAGGACUCCACACAUCAUAGACCAGCACCUCGUGAAACCCAACCAGUUAAACAGGCCCCUGAACCACGUCCACGUUCCAUGAUCACUCAUCUGGAAGCGGGAGUUUCCUCUCUGCCACAAGAGGAGUGGUCACGAAUGGAUGCCACAGCAACUUUGAGAAGACCACGACCCCCACAUCACUCAGAUAGUGAACAUUUUAACCUGACAGAAACAAGUACUAUAAAGCGAAGGCCCAAAGCAUUGGCUCCACCACAGAGUAAUGGCACUGAAGGAAAUGGGCCAGAGAACUUUCAGAGAAGGCCUGUAUCAGAAGCUUGUGUUGGAGAUGGUGGUAGGGAGGAAGAACUGCAUCAUGAUGGCUUUGGCUCUCUUCCCAGACAAAUACUAAAACCCCUAGUUUCACCUAAACCAGGAAUGGCCCUUCGAAAACCAGAUCCCCCAACUCCUACAAGGAGGGUUCCCUUACCUGGACCAGAAGGUCAACAUAGCCCAGUGGAGGUUAAGAAAGUCCCACCUCCAGUAUCUCCCAAGCCAAGUCUGCCUCCUACACUGCCCAAACCGGUAAAAAUCAAACCAAUCCAUACAAUCGGAACUCUUGGCUCUCCUCAGGCAGAUGUUCUCAGUCCAUCCAGUGCCUCCUUCAGCCAAGCUCCAUCUGAGCAACUGGAGCAUCCACCACAGACUUUGAGCCCAGUCACCCCAAAACCAAUGGAUGGGAGCAUGCUUUCCCCACGUGCAGCAACGUCUCCAGCUCAGAGCCCACAGACUCCUCAGACACCCCAAACCCCACAAACACCUUCUACACCAGGUUCAGGAUCAGCUCCAGUGAAGCCCCCGAGGUCUUCCAUGGCUGGUCUCUCAGUGGACAUCCCAAGCCCUCUGGAAGUAGAACUGCCUGGAAUGGAUGUGCAAAAGAAGCUAAGAGAAGUAGAGAAACAAAGAGAGGAAGAUGAUGGUAGGAGGCAAGAAAGAAUAGAGGAAGUUGGAAUUGCUAGAAUGGAAAGGACAGGUCUGAUCCAGGUGGAUCAAAUGUUUCAAGGUGAACAAGGCCUGAUUUCAGAUACAGGGGAGGGAGCAGGACCGGUGGUAAUGAGAAGGAGGAAGGUAGGUGUAGCCAGACAGACACCAGUAGAGGGUGAACCACAAGAUGGAGAAGGAAAGACAGAGGUGGAAAGCCAAGGGUUACUGAAGGUUGCUGAAACAGGGGGCUCUGCUGUGGGGGACAUGGUACAACUCAGACUGGAGGAGACCAGUGCAUCCCUGGCUGCUGCUCUGGAAGUAGUGGAGGAGAAGAUUAAGAAGGAUGACAGGUACAAAC